CCGCGGCUGAGGCAGGACCUGACGGUUAUUAAAAAUGGUAGAGCUGCAGCAGUGGAGCAUUGGCGCCAUUUUCAAACUUCAGAGCCUCAGUGACUGGAACUCUUGUAACAGCUACAUUAUUCCUCAUUAUGAUUUCUUUUUUUUUUUUUCAAAUUCUUUCCUCAAGACCUUUCAUUACUUAACUAUUAUUUGAUAAACAUUGGGAACUGGAAGAGUAUUUUCAUGAAAGGUGCAGGAGACCGACUACACUGGAAGAGGGGAGUCCGGCGGGUUACUUUGGGAAUACCAGGCACCUUUUUCUCUCCCCUGUUGCCUAACAUGCUGGAGAACGGGGAUCGAGGGUAAGUGAAAUCUUUCCUGUGUCCGUUUCAAAGCUUAACCAAAACGGCCCCUGGUUUCAAUGGGUGAGCAAAGUUAGGCCAGGGUGUGUAUGUGUCUAUGUAAGUGUGUGAGCUUCUCUUUUAGGUCUCCCUCUCCCACCCAUUUGCUGUCUAUCCUUUUCUCAUUUUCUCUCUCUCCCUCUCUUUUGCUAACACCCCCCACCCCCCUCUCUCGAUGAACGACGGGCAGAAGUAGACAGAAGCAAAUGCCUUCUGCAACUGUGCUGACGUGAUCAUUUGACUCAGACCUUAAAUAGGCUGCCCUUUAUGAGAUGGAAUUGUUUUUUAACU
rnacentral:lncRNA from 1 species